rnacentral:rRNA from 1 species
GACGAACGCUGGCGGCGUGUCUAAUACAUGCAAGUAGGACGCAGUUGCGAACGGGUGAGUAACGCGUAGGUAACUACCUAUUAGAGGGGGAUGACUAUUGGUAACGCUAGCUAAUACCGCAUACUAGUAGCUGGACCUUCGUUGUAUUAGCUAGUAGGUAGGGUAAUGGCCUACCUAGGCAACGAUACAUAGCCGAGCUGAGAGGGUGAUCCGCCACACUGGGACUGAGACACGGCCCCGAAUCCUACGGGAGGCAGCAGUAGGGAAUCAUCGGGAAUGGGGCGAAACCUGACCGAGCAACGGCGCGGGAGUGAAGAAGGUUUUUGGAUUGUAAAGCUCUGUUGUUAAGGAAGCGGUACUUAACCAGAAAGGGACGGCUAACUACGUGCCAGCAGCCGCGGUAAUAC